GCCAGCGUAGCUCAGUUGGCAGAGCAACUGAUUUGUAAUCAGUGGGUCGGGGGUUCGACUCCCUUCGCUGGCUCCA
rnacentral:tRNA from 1 species